rnacentral:rRNA from 1 species
GAUGAACGCUGGCGGCGUGCCUAAUACAUGCAAGUCGAGCGAACGGACGAGAAGCUUGCUUCUCUGACGUUAGCGGCGGACGGGUGAGUAACACGUGGAUAACCUACCUAUAAGACUGGGAUAACUUCGGGAAACCGGAGCUAAUACCGGAUAAUAUAUUGAACCGCAUGGUUCAAUAGUGAAAGACGGUCUUGCUGUCACUUAUAGAUGGAUCCGCGCUGCAUUAGCUAGUUGGUAAGGUAACGGCUUACCAAGGCAACGAUGCGUAGCCGACCUGAGAGGGUGAUCGGCCACACUGGAACUGAGACACGGUCCAGACUCCUACGGGAGGCAGCAGUAGGGAAUCUUCCGCAAUGGGCGAAAGCCUGACGGAGCAACGCCGCGUGAGUGAUGAAGGUCUUCGGAUCGUAAAACUCUGUUAUUAGGGAAGAACAUAUGUGUAAGUAACUGUGCACAUCUUGACGGUACCUAAUCAGAAAGCCACGGCUAACUACGUG